AGUAAGGUCAGCUAACUAAGCUCCUGGGCCCAUACCCCCGCCAUGAAGGUUAAAAUCCUUCCCUUACUA
rnacentral:tRNA from 1 species